AUACGGAGGGUGCAAGCGUUGUUCGGAAUAACUGGGCGUAAAGGGCGCGCAGGCGGUUGGAUAAGUCAGAUGUGAAAUCCCUGGGCUCAACCCAGGAAGUGCAUUUGAAACUGUCCAUCUUGAGUACGGGAGAGGGAAGCGGAAUUCCGAGUGUAGAGGUGAAAUUCGUAGAUAUUCGGAGGAACACCGGUGGCGAAGGCGGCUUCCUGGACCGAUACUGACGCUGAGGCGCGAAAGCGUGGGGAGCAAACAGGAUUAGAUACCCGAGUAGUCC
rnacentral:rRNA from 1 species